rnacentral:piRNA from 2 species
UCACAGAAUUUAAGGAUGCCAAACC